AUUGAACGCUGGCGGCAGGCCUAACGCAUGCAAGUCUAGCGGAUGAAGGGAGCUUGCUCCUGGAUUCAGCGGCGGACGGGUGAGUAAUGCCUAGGAAUCUGCCUGGUAGUGGGGGAUAACGUCCGGAAACGGGCGCUAAUACCGCAUACGUCCUGAGGGAGAAAGUGGGGGAUCUUCGGACCUCACGCUAUCAGAUGAGCCUAGGUCGGAUUAGCUAGUUGGUGGGGUAAAGGCCUACCAAGGCGACGAUCCGUAACUGGUCUGAGAGGAUGAUCAGUCACACUGGAACUGAGACACGGUCCAGACUCCUACGGGAGGCAGCAGUGGGGAAUAUUGGACAAUGGGCGAAAGCCUGAUCCAGCCAUGCCGCGUGUGUGAAGAAGGUCUUCGGAUUGUAAAGCACUUUAAGUUGGGAGGAAGGGCAGUAAGUUAAUACCUUGCUGUUUGGACGUUACCAACAGAAUAAGCACCGGCUAACUUCGU
rnacentral:rRNA from 1 species